rnacentral:lncRNA from 12 species
AAAAGGCUUCACCAUAGCAAACAGCGUUCAUGUGCCAUCCGUCAGAUGGGGAACUGUUCAGUGUUUCAGCUGCAAUGAAACAGAUGAGAACCCCUCGCUUCCGCAGCUGAAUGCUUCCAAGCAUGUACAACAUCAUCACCAAAAAAUGAUCAUGUAUCUUCAUCAAAGAGAGGUGUUUGUUGUCUGAUUUUUAUUCCAAUGUGGUGAAAAAUUGGUCAGUUUUAAGUAGAUUCCUAUCAAAGCUGUGCUCCAAAUCCCUGUGACCCACUUCAGAAUUUGCCUGCAGCUAUGAUGGAUGAUUCUCUGCAUUGAUCUCUUCACCAUUCUGCCCGAGGUCUUUUUCUGGGUUCAGAGGAGUAUGUUAGUGACACAGAAUUCAACCCUCAGCAAGACAACCCUCAACUGAGAAGGGGAAGGAGCCAGAGUACACACCCUAGCUUCUCCAACUUCAGUAGGGCAAUUCUAAAGGAAUGUUUUUCAUGGUCCUUUGGAGGGUUCCUAGCGGGACUGAGCCCUGGCUACCCAUGGCAACAACCAGCUCAUUAACGCAGUUCCCUGUCUGGCUUUCUUGCAUACUUGUGUCUCUGGAAACCAUCAGUCCAAGAAAUUGCCUACAUCUACAUCUUUGUUUCACGGGCUCCCUUUGGGAAACUCAGAGUGAAGAGCCUCACCAGACAAGAGGUGGUCGAGUAAUAGUGGGAAUUUCAGAUUUGUAAUUAGAGAUGCCAGUAAAUGCUAAUAUAUCCCUACCAAUAAACAACUGGGACUUCUCCUGACA